CGAUGGAUCUUAAGCGGUGGGUUAGGGGUCCAUUAUCUCCGUAAAUCCCCUCUAUGACGGGCUGACACCGGCAGAUGAGGCGUUUAAGGCCGCUUAGAUCUCUAGUUUCGAACCAGUGACUAUCCGUCCUUUGGGGCUGGCGGUCAGUGGGUGGCUUCCGUAGGGAAGUUGCUUCACUGUUUAGCAGGCGAACCUGGCUAGGCUCGGGAGAGAGCAACCUAAGUUUGGACGUUAUGCGCUCAAGGGGGUGCGGGUAAGAGAGUAGAGCUGGAUGUAUCUAGGCGGAGUCUGGGCGUCGAACUGCCGUGGUCCAUCG
rnacentral:SRP_RNA from 1 species